AUUGAACGCUGGCGGCAGGCCUAACACAUGCAAGUCGAACGGUAACAGGAAGCAGCUUGCUGCUUCGCUGACGAGUGGCGGACGGGUGAGUAAUGUCUGGGAAACUGCCUGAUGGAGGGGGAUAACUACUGGAAACGGUAGCUAAUACCGCAUAACGUCGCAAGACCAAAGAGGGGGACCUUAGGGCCUCUUGCCAUCGGAUGUGCCCAGAUGGGAUUAGCUAGUAGGUGGGGUAACGGCUCACCUAGGCGACGAUCCUUAGCUGGUCUGAGAGGAUGACCAGCCACACGGGAACUGAGACACGGUCCAGACUCCUACGGGAGGCAGCAGUGGGGAAUAUUGCACAAUGGGCGCAAGCCUGAUGCAGCCAUGCCGCGUGUAUGAAGAAGGCCUUCGGGUUGUAAAGUACUUUCAGCGGGGAGGAAGGGAGUAAAGUUAAUACCUUUGCUCAUUGACGUUACCCGCAGAAGAAGCACCGGCUAACUCCGUG
rnacentral:rRNA from 1 species